rnacentral:rRNA from 2 species
UGGGGAAUAUUGGACAAUGGGCGCAAGCCUGAUCCAGCAAUGCCGCGUGUGUGAAGAAGGCCUGCGGGUUGUAAAGCACUUUAAGCAGGGAAGAAAGGUGGGGUGUUAACACCAUCUCACAUUGACGUUACCUGCAGAAUAAGCACCGGCUAACUCCGUGCCAGCAGCCGCGGUAAUACGGAGGGUGCGAGCGUUAAUCGGAAUUACUGGGCGUAAAGCGCGCGUAGGCGGUUUGUUAAGUCAGCUGUGAAAGCCCCGGGCUUAACCUGGGAAUGGCAGUUGAUACUGGCGAGCUAGAGUGUGGUAGAGGGGUGUGGAAUUUCCGGUGUAGCAGUGAAAUGCGUAGAGAUCGGAAGGAACACCAGUGGCGAAGGCGGCACCCUGGACCAACACUGACGCUGAGGUGCGAAAGCGUGGGGAGCAAACAGG